rnacentral:lncRNA from 1 species
CGGGAGGCACCGUGUGGUGGCUGUGCCAGGGCCCGGCGCGGCUCUGCAGGCCCCCAGAGCUCCUCGCAAUGCAGCUCCGUCCUGCAGAGCGGAGCCCGCGGUAUCCUCCUUGUCCUCGGCUGUCUCCCCUCGGUGGUGCGUGCCGUGAGUCACGAGGAGCCUGGUGCCGCUCCAAACGCGUGUCAGCCCCGGCCUAGUGAGAGGUUCAUAGCAGGCACAGGCAAAUGGGUGGAGUUGGUAGCUGUCUGAAGUAGCCAAGAUCUUCAGUUGAUAUCGUUAAUUAUCAUGUGAUGGUGCCAAAGUUUGCGAGGCUCCGUGCAGCACAGAACAAAAUGACAUAUUCCCUGCCCCAAGGAGUUUACAAUCUAAAGUGGAUCUGACAACACGAGGGUGUGACAGGACACCACGAGGCUGCAGCAACAGGAUCAUGCUGUUGAGGUCUCAACUUACUCCAGCACUACAGAUGAGAGAAAGCGACAGCUCCAGAGGCCUCUUGGGAUGGCAGGAUGGAUCUGACAAAGCAAGGUGUGACAGAAUGCCACAAGGUUGCAGCAACAGAAUCCUAGGAUCCAGUGACCAGAUAAAGAGUGGAUGCUGUUGUUGGCUACAGAUUCAAAUGUCAUCUGGGUUUGGACUCUUCCAGCUUAUGAUUUCAUCUUUGCAAAUACUGAGUUUCAGAAGUCUGUUAAUAUGCUCUGUACACUGAAAUGCUCAGUCUGAAAUAGUUUCAGACAUUAAACUCUAAUUAAAACAUUUUAUGGUUGAAUUAAGCCUGCUUCCACUGUUACAAAAAUUCUACUAAUGAAAUCACAUCUUAGUAUUUUAGACCAGAUACCUGAAUUUUGCUUGUUCAUGUAUUCCCUUCAUCCAGACAAACUAACCAUGUUCAGGGAGCAGGACUUAAGAAUCUUAAAAGGCACACAUUAUUUCUGGAGCAAAUCAAACAGAAUAACAUAGUUAGCAUUAGCAUUGCCAUUUCCAAGAGAGGCAUAAUGUGUGGAAUUUGUUAGUUUAAGUUAGCUGCAUCUUCUAAUUUGGUAACCUCACAUCCUGUAAAUUCCAGGACUAAUGCCAUUAUCCAACAUCACAAAACGAAGGACUGGUGAUCUUUUGAAUGUCUCAGUGGGUAAAAUAGGUGACAGGAAAAAGAUCUGCCCACUUGCAGAUUCAUCCAAGUCCCGCUACAUGGAUUGGAAAGGCGUCCAUUGACUUCACUGGGAACUGGGUAAGGCUCUAAACGUCAAUAAAAAUCAAAGAAGCCUCA